GAGAGAGAGAGAGAGAGAUACAACAUAACUUAAAUAGAUUAUGGAGGCCCCAGGGCACCGUGCAUGUGUGAUGUAAAAUGGCAACGUUUCACCUUUCGUCAUGUUUAUUAAAAUGUAUGCUCGAUAUGUAUGUUCUCUCACUAAAUAUAAAUGAAUACUUUUCGGAUUUAAAAAAAUAUUUUUAACCCCGCUCAAAUUAUCCGGAUGAUAAUAGUUAUACCGAGCAUGGUUUUGUAGAUAAAUUUAGACUGUAGUACAUCCGGUUUGAAUACAUGUGUUUUCUGACUUUUCGGAUAGCCAACUCUUUUGAUUUUUGGAACUUAUGACUUAUGGCAAGAGAGAAGAAAACUGCAUGACUUUAAAAAGAAAACCAGUGAGAUAAAAUCAUAUAAAAUGUAUGAUGAUUCAGGAUGUGGUCAUUUGAGUCCUGUUCUGUGGAUGCCCUUAGACAGUGUGUCUACCCAUCACGCCAUCUGAUAUCACUUGUUCUGAGCAUAUUUCUCUCUCAAACUUAAACUACAGAGAGCCUGUGGAUAGAGGAUGAAGAGUAACCUUGGACUACUUUUCUAGGUCAAAGAUCAUAGGUGAUGUGAUGAAAAUACCAAGGAACUGAUGUUGAAAGAAGUACUUAAUGACACUUAUGAAUGGACUUAAACGUGAAAGACUGUUCCAUUGUUUAUCUAAGAUAUAUGAAUUUUGAUAUCAUUGAAAAAUACUGUUACAGUUUUUGUACAUCAAAUGAAUUAUUAAACAUAUAAAAUGGUAAUGCUUUUUUCUCUUACAUGUAAUAAUUUUUUAUAUAGAUUUACUGAAAAGAAUAUACAUAAUUUCACAUCACUUCCUUCAGAAAAGU